AGGAAGGCAGCAGGCGCGCAAAUUACCCAAUCCCGAUACGGGGAGGUAGUGACAAUAAAUACUGAUACGGGGCUCUUUUGGGUCUCGUAAUUGGAAUGAGAACAAUUUAAAUCCCUUAACGAGGAACAAUUGGAGGGCAAGUCUGGUGCCAGCAGCCGCGGUAAUUCCAGCUCCAAUAGCGUAUAUUAAAGUUGUUGCAGUUAAAAAGCUCGUAGUUGAACCUUGGGUCUGGCUGGCCGGUCCGCCUCACCGCGAGUACUGGUCCGGCUGGACCUUUCCUUCUGGGGAACCUCAUGGCCUUCACUGGCUGUGGGGGGAACCAGGACUUUUACUGUGAAAAAAUUAGAGUGUUCAAAGCAGGCCUUUGCUCGAAUACAUUAGCAUGGAAUAAUAGAAUAGGACGUGCGGUUCUAUUUUGUUGGUUUCUAGGACCGCCGUAAUGAUUAAUAGGGAUAGUCGGGGGCGUCAGUAUUCAGCUGUCAGAGGUGAAAUUCUUGGAUUUGCUGAAGACUAACUACUGCGAAAGCAUUCGCCAAGGAUGUUUUCAUUAAUCAGGGAACGAAAGUUAGGGGAUCGAAGACGAUCAGAUACCGUCGUAGUCUUAACCAUAAACUAUGCCGACUAGGGAUCGGACGGGCUUCUAUGAUGACCCGUUCGGCACCUUACGAGAAAUCAAAGUUUUUGG
rnacentral:rRNA from 1 species